rnacentral:rRNA from 1 species
GAUGAACGCUGGCGGCGUGCCUAAUACAUGCAAGUCGAGCGAAUGGAUUAAGAGCUUGCUCUUAUGAAGUUAGCGGCGGACGGGUGAGUAACACGUGGGUAACCUGCCCAUAAGACUGGGAUAACUCCGGGAAACCGGGGCUAAUACCGGAUAACAUUUUGAACCGCAUGGUUCGAAAUUGAAAGGCGGCUUCGGCUGUCACUUAUGGAUGGACCCUCGUCGCAUUAGCCAGUUGGUGAGGUAACGGCUCACCAAGGCAACGAUGCGUAGCCGACCUGAGAGGGUGAUCGGCCACACUGGGACUGAGACACGGCCCAGACUCCUACGGGAGGCAGCAGUAGGGAAUCUUCCGCAAUGGACGAAAGUCUGACGGAGCAACGCCGCGUGAGUGAUGAAGGCUUUCGGGUCGUAAAACUCUGUUGUUAGGGAAGAACAAGUGCUAGUUGAAUAAGUUGGCACCUUGACGGUACCUAACCAGAAAGCCACGGCUAACUACGUGCCAGCAGCCGCGGUAA